rnacentral:rRNA from 1 species
UACGUAGGGUGCGAGCGUUAAUCGGAAUUACUGGGCGUAAAGCGUGCGCAGGCGGUGCUGUAAGACCGAUGUGAAAUCCCCGGGCUUAACCUGGGAACUGCAUUGGUGACUGCAGCGCUGGAGUAUGGCAGAGGGGGGUGGAAUUCCACGUGUAGCAGUGAAAUGCGUAGAGAUGUGGAGGAACACCGAUGGCGAAGGCAGCCCCCUGGGCCAAUACUGACGCUCAUGCACGAAAGCCAGGGGAGCAAACGGG